rnacentral:rRNA from 1 species
AGUGAACGCUGGCGGUAGGCCUAACACAUGCAAGUCGAACGGCAGCACAGUAAGAGCUUGCUCUUACGGGUGGCGAGUGGCGGACGGGUGAGGAAUACAUCGGAAUCUACUUUUUCGUGGGGGAUAACGUAGGGAAACUUACGCUAAUACCGCAUACGACCUACGGGUGAAAGCAGGGGAUCUUCGGACCUUGCGCGAUUGAAUGAGCCGAUGUCGGAUUAGCUAGUUGGCGGGGUAAAGGCCCACCAAGGCGACGAUCCGUAGCUGGUCUGAGAGGAUGAUCAGCCACACUGGAACUGAGACACGGUCCAGACUCCUACGGGAGGCAGCAGUGGGGAAUAUUGGACAAUGGGCGCAAGCCUGAUCCAGCCAUACCGCGUGGGUGAAGAAGGCCUUCGGGUUGUAAAGCCCUUUUGUUGGGAAAGAAAAGCAGCAGGUUAAUACCCCGCUGUCCUGACGGUACCCAAAGAAUAAGCACCGGCUAACUUCGUA